UAGGAACUUUAAAUGGCCCUAUUUGGAUGGCGAUCCAUUUGCUAGCUUCAUGCGUGUGAGAUCAGGAUGCCAGAAAAGUCCGCUGCUCAUUUUCAUGAAAUUUAGUUGCCUUUGGUUAAUCCACACAUGACUUUUCCCAGAUUAUUCUCUAGCCACCACUCUCCUUCAACACUAUUCAAGUACUCAGCCAUUUCUUUCUCAAAGGGUCCACCUCCCCAACCCAGAACCUCUGCAUCUCCAAGCCAGGUGUAUGGAAUUUGUUUCACAUCGAGCCUACACACAAGUCAACAGCUGCACUCCCACCAUCAGCUCACUGUGUUUCUUUGUCUUCUGUUGGGAAGGAAAAGAUAGAGUGACGUGGCACCUGCCCAGGGGGUUCCUCUCGUGCGUCAUAUGACAUCACCUCCUCUCCGGUCAACAUCACCAACAACUUAGUGUGCAAUCGAGACUACAUGCCACGGGGGGGAAAUGAAUUGCUUGGCUGGGAAUAGUAUCCUGGAGAUAGCACAGGGUUUAGAGUCAUGGAUGAGGUUGAAGGUAGCGUUCCCCUGCUCUGUGACUGUCUAAAAUUUCAGAAUUUGAGAGCCAACAGAGGAUUGUCCCUACUCCUUGGCACCGGGGUCUUCCAAGUGGUAUUUUCAUACUCCCGGAAUGAGGAGAUCCAAAAUGGCUCCCUGAACCAGAGAAUAGGUGUCCCAUUAAAAAUACCUUUAUCACCAUCACCUGACCGCAUCACCUAAACUGUCUUCCAAACAGGAGUCAAAGGUGACCUCUACAUUCAUUGCCCAGCACAUGCUGUCUUUCCCCGUCUCUCCUUUUUCCCCGUCUUCUCUUCAUCCGCUUUGCCUCCACUUGGGGUGGGAAUCUGUGGCAGAGGUCACUGGGGAAACAGCUCAGCAGAUUUUUAGAGACCAAGCAAAAGGCCUCACUAGGAAAUCUCUCUGUGUUAAAACAUUGCUUCCUUCCUGCCUCUGCGAAAAUGAAUGCUCAUUGUUGUUUUUUUAUUUCUAAUGUUCAAUCACUGCGUGCUGUAUGACUCUAGAAAGCCUUAAUUUACUACCACCAAGAAAUAAAGCAAUAUGUUGGUAAUUGGGUUAAGCCUCAUUUAAUACCCUGGCCAGAGGAACAUGGUGUUCAGAGAGGGACAUCCAAGGGUGAGCAAGCUCUCUUCUGAAGUAGAGAGCAAGUCAGGUCACUGCAGCUCUUGUCCACUUAAAGUUGCAUUUUGUCAUUUCCCUUGGUUCAGUGACUGUGGCUGAAAAUUAGGAGGCGGGUGAAAAAUCAUUGCCUUCACAGUUUGGUUCAGGUCUUCAAUUCCUUAACCCAAACUCUUGGAGUCAGAUGUAUUUUGGAAUUCAUAAUUUUUUUUUUUUUAUAUUUUAGGAAGCUACCUGUGGUGUAUUUUGAAAUACCUCUAGCAGAGUCUAGAACAGCACCCUUAGUCAAACAUUAGUCAAACAUGUUAGCAAUAGGUACAAAUAGUCACACUGUGUAAGAUUAUUAGAGACUGUAAAGAGCCUUGCAUCCCUUCAGGUCAGAUUCUGUCACCAAAUUAAUUUGCACCAAACACAAUGAAAAAAAAAUCUUCUAUUCCUUCAGAGAUUUCCAGAUUUCGGAAUUGUGGAUACGUAACUGUGGACCUGAAUGCGCUUCCCCUGGCCCUAAUGCAAACAUUGGAGUAAUCUUCAAAAUUAUGCUAUUGGUUGUUAUAAAUCUUUUAAAAGGUCUUAAAGCAUUAAAACCACCUAGCAGGGAAAUAUGGCAACUUGAUCUAAAAGGAAAAAUUAUAAUUCAGUUGGAAAAAAGUACAUGCCGAUUCUCUACUCACCAACACCUUUGGAUCCAAGAAAUCAAUAGGGCAGAAAGCAAGUACUGAGAGAUGAAUGGCACACUUCAGCCUUAGCAAGUAAAAAGGUUUUAAGAGAUAUUGAUUUUAAAUGUAUUUGUCCUCAGCUUUCUUCGGGUCCUAUGUCAGCUGCUUAAUGACUGUCACGUUAACCAAUAGGACGGUUAACUACCUGGGAACAUUAAGUUGAGGCAGCCCCAGGCGGUUCCUGUCAAGAUCCCAGAAUAAAGCUAGCAGUAAGUAAAAUGCAUUUGUCCUUGAGGUUCAUGACUUCUGAGAUUGACAUUUGUUCAGAAUUAGAAAAAGUCUUCAAGAAACUUGAUAUCCAAGAGCGUGCGGCAUGAAACCACACAGGUCGGACAUUUUUAAGAGGAAAAGUAAUUCGAUAAAAUUGCUACCCACGUCUAAGUUUUCACAGAGAAGUCACAAAAAGUAGUACAUUUGUUCAAGAGCUAGCAGUCAUGAUUAGUUAAGAAAGACAUUAGUUGGAAGAACUGCUGAAUCGACAGUAGGGGAGGGGAGAGAGCAUAUUUAGAGACCUGGUAAACACUGAAGUGAAAACGUUCAUACAGACGAUCUGUGAAAUCAGGUGGGGUUCCCUCUUGCAUGCUGUUGGUCAAGUGGUUUCUCCUCGAUCCAUUCACUAGACAUGGUUCUUGAUGUCGCAGGAAGGGAAGGCACGGGGGAAAGGGCGUGCCUGUCAUCAUCUGUCUGCAGUGGAUGCUGAUGCUACCACUGAGACGCCCCCAAACACAGCUCUGGGUGCCCAAAGAGCAACUCAGGCACUUUCAUUAAUGGCCACCUGGUGGGUCGAGCUGUUCAACCUGGGCAGAGAAAUACUCCCACAGACACUCAGAUUGGGGGCACCUCAUCCAGGAUGUACCCGGCAUGUGACUAUUCCUCCUUUUUCUCUGAGUGCGCCAUUCUCUCCUAAAGUCACAGGUCCAUUUUGUAGAGGCUUUCUCCCCACCUUCAAGCCACUAGAUCUCCUAGGAUCUGCUAAAACCACCUGGGAAGGAACAUCUCCAUUUGGAAGCUGGAGGUGGCCCAAUCCCUGCCUGUCACCGGCACCAUGUGGCAUCUCCAGCAGAGCUGUCCCAAGAAAUAUCUGCAACUAGGAUGCUGGUCUUGUGAACCACCCAGGAGGGCUCCCUUUAAACUCUGAAUUCUUGCUCAGGUGUUAGCAACCAGCAUCAUCCAGGUACCAAGGAUGGCCUUGAAGAUCACUUAAAAAAAACAAAAAACAAACAAAAAAAAAAAAACAAGGAGCCUUGACCUAAAUAUUUCCAAUCUAGCCAUUUCUGUACUGUGGAAUGUUUCUCUUUGCAGUCACUGAGCUACCGAGUUUUACACUGAUGAGAUCAAGAUGUCUGAACUCUGUCCUGACCCAUGAGGAUCAACGUAUGAUGGAGACAGGAAACUACAGCCAUUCUCCAUAAACAAAGGAUGCCCAGGGAGUGCCAGUCAUUUUCUUCUGAAGGAGCAGACAGUACCCAGCAACCUGCAACCCCUCUCCAAAGGUGGCACAUCUGGGAAUGUGGAGUACUGCACAGGAAGAGAGGGGCUGUUAGGUGUAAUUUGUUCAGAUCAGAGUUUGCACCAGCUCAGGGACUUGAGCAAUUCUUCUCCAAAAGAGUAGAAGGCAGCAGCCGUUAGGCCCUCCCCAUGUCUGACCACGAAGAAAGACUAGAGUCACAAACGAGAGCCUCCACCUGUGCCCAGUUAACUAUACGCACGUGGAAACACACUGAUCCCUCAGGAGCUGGAAAGUUUAAAGCAUGCUGAACAUUCGAUACAAUGAAUGUUGACUGAUGGUCUUCCAUCAACAGCUGCUGGAGACAUAAUGAAAAGCAAACACAAGUCCUACCUCAAGACACCCAUCAUCUAUUCAGGGAAGACCAAAACGUAAAUGGCAUUUUGAUUCAAAUCAACAAAGAUUUCUUGAAGGCCAACUUAGGGAUCCUAUCAUGUCAGGCACUGGAGAUGGGCCAGUGAACUAGACAGACAAAUGUCCAUGACCUCAUAGAGCUUGGAUUCUAAAGCCAUCCCAUCCAACGGGACUUUCUGUGGUGAUAGAAAUAUUCCGUAUCUCUGCUGUCCACCGGAGCAGUCACUAGCCACAUGUGGCUACUGAGUACUUGAAAUCAACUCAUGGAAAUAAAAAACUCAUUAAAAAAUUUUAUUUC